GUGGUAUUUGAUUCCCUUCUCUUUACUUCGAUUAUAAUUUAGUCUAACAUGCAAGUUGUCCAUUUGCAACUGUCAUGUAACAUCAUGCAUGAUAUCAAGAUAUAUAGUCUUAUGGAAAUCAUAUCCCGUUAAAAGACAUGUUUGUUCUUCCCAAUUGUGUUCUUCUAGACAUUUUGACAAGUGAAGACGGUUUAAAACAUUGGUACCAACAAUCACAUGUGUAAUAAUGAAAAUCCGAAGUACAGUUUAGAGUAUAUAGUAAUUAUUGCAUUAUUAAACAAAAUAAAUUCAUACAAUAAAUGAAGUUUUUUGGUAUAAUCAAUCCCCAGACUUUGGUCGUAAGGCAGCACUUCCCUUGCGAUAGUAACUUCUAGUAUUUAGUCUAACCUCAAUGUUAGAGUCAUUUAGUAUAAUGAAAAGUCAGUAUACAAUUUGCUCCAUCAAUCUAUCAUUUAUAUAAGUAGCACGAGAAAAGGUCUCCGUCAUUCAUAUCAUCUAUUCAUAUAUUCCCAGGAGUCCAGUCAACAACUUCGGAAUUUUUGCGCACUAAAGAUAGAGGCAACCCCAAUGUACGCAGAAGUAAGAGACAAAACAAAGCCGAGAAAGUUUACAACUUUCACACCCUGACAGCAGUAAUGAGGAAGGUCUCCGUGACAGCCACACAGGUUCUUUAAAAAGCCAACGCACUGCAUAGCAGCACCACAAAAGCAACAGCAAGUGAAGCCAUAAUCCAUCGAAUCCCAGCAGCCUUUCGCGCCAAUGUUGGAGGAUACAAUGCCGGCCUGAAACACAUUCACUACUCCCUCCAGCACAAAAAAAUUAAGCUCGGGCAAGAGAAAUGUUGAGACGUCGAUUUUCCCAAUAUCGGGUGGUUGCAGGACUUUGUCUUUGCGAAGAGCGUUGAAUAGACGAUACAGAAAAAACAAGUUAAACGCGGUACCGCACAGACAUGUCAACGUCAGUAUAGUAUGUCGAUCACGAUUUGAAUCCUUCAAAUGGUAGUCGCAGUAGCAGUCACAGCCAAUAUCAAAUAAACGGUAAACAAUCAACAAAAAAGACCAACAUUUAAGCAGUCGUUCGACCAUGAUGAAUUAAUGGUUUACCAAACAGAAAACGAGGUGCGCCACUAUUGUCAAUAUUGCAUGUUCAAAAUUGUAAGCAAAGUUGUUUUCUAAGGGAAACCCCCUGGCGGCAUAUACAAUCUGAAAAUAUGAUCAAUCGCAAAGAACGUAAUAAAAGAUAAAUUAUACUUUAUAGUGAAACACCCAUGCUGGCUUGUUGUAUAGUGUUAUGUGCGAUUUC